AUGUGACAACUCGAAAUUUAGAACCUUUCGUUGUAACUUGCUUGUACGUUAUGUGACUAGUUUAAAUGAUAACGUGAACCUUUUUAUGUGAUAAGUGCUUUGUUACGUGUGUAUUGUAUUUAUAUGUUUUAAAUGAUAACGUGAACCUUUUUAUGUGAUAAGUGCUUUGUUACGUGUGUAUUGUAUUUAUAUGUGUACGUGUUAUAUGUGAACCGAGAACCCGACACGAAACAACAAGGAACCCGACUCGAGACCAUGAGGUCUCGAGUGACUAGUAAUCGGUUUUGGGCCUUGGGCCGAGAACCUUUGGCCGGUUGGGCCUUUGGGCCGUAAACCCCACUCGAAACCCACUAAGGGUGCACACUUGGAACUAGCCUAUAUAUAAACUACCCUUAGUUAGUUCUUGCCAUUUGUUGAACAAUACAACACACACACUCUCCUACUUCUCUCUCUAAGCCUUAAGAACACAAACACACCUCCAAGACUCUCGGAUCUAAUCGGUUAGCACAAGGACUCUCGGGUUUGGAACUUUGGAUCGGCACACACACACCUCACCAACCGGUUAGUAUUUCUUGUUGGAUAUUGUUGAAUGCAUAAGUGUCAAAUAUGUUCAUGAUGUGUUUGUGCUUGAAUAAAUGUAUGAUGAGAUUAUGUGACAAUAUGUUAAGUUGUUAAGUUUUACAUAAUGUUUUGAAAAAGAAAUCGGUUCAUGAAUGUUUCUUAUUAUGAGUGGAACUAUACAUAUUUGAUGUUAAAAAUGGGUUCAUGGUAUGACAAAAAGGUGAAUGAUGAUAUUGGUUGCAUUUGGGUUUGAUCCGAAAAGUUUGGGUGUUUAUACUAAGAAAAAUCGGCUAAUAAAUAUGGUUGUCAAGUAGGAUGCAUGCUAGAAAAUUGUAUCUUGAUGAUUGUUCAUGAUUUUGGGUGAAUAAGUGUUGUUUAUGUUAUGAAGAACUUGAAUAUAUGCUUUGAAUAUGUGAAGAACACUUUGAAUGAUAGUUAAGAAUGUGAAAACCCUUGUGAUUUUGAUCCAUCUUUGACUAGUAACCUGAUUAGGAAAACUGUUAGUGGAAUGCUAUUGGUAGUUUCCGGAUUUGGGCCUGAUUAUACUGUACCAUUAAUCUGACCAUCUGCAUCAACACGUGAACUUGAAAACGACUGCUACCGACUCGCAAUCACGCAGUUGCGACUCGCAACCACAGCGUGAUGACUCGAGACCACGCGGUUGC
rnacentral:lncRNA from 1 species